AGUCCUUUUCAUCAGGAAUGCUUGGAAGCCCUCCAUUUUAUCGAAGGUCUGUUUUCUCCUCCUGUAGGAUUAUACUCCAUUUUGCUAGGCCCAUGUGAUACCAGGACAAAAAUGAGAUGGUCCUUGCCUCCAGUGAGCUUCCAUUCUACUGAGAGGCUACAACAGGGACGCCAAAAAGUCUGUUAAAAGGAAAGAGAGAGAACAUGAACAUCGGCUAAAUCAAUCAAAGACGUAGACCCAGAGCUUGCACCAGUUUGGGCUCUGAUGGAAGAUAAGGGUUAUGAGCUGCUCCAGUGAAAGGGAAUCAUGUUGCAAGCAUGGGGAAUGUCUCGGACCAAUGCAUGGAGGUCAGAGAAAACUCAGGUAACAGAUAAAAUUGUGAAUGUACAUGUCCUUCUCCCCCACUGUGGAGCUCAUGAGGAGAUGGGAGAAGGACAGGGAAAAAGGCCUCUUGCAAAAAGUAAUUUGAGCCUAGUCCUAAAGGAAUUGAUGGAAGCCAAAGCUAUAUUAAGGUCACAUGAAGAGACACCUUCUGUUUGGUGUGGCACCCUACCUCUGUUGUGUGGCCAAAUA